rnacentral:rRNA from 1 species
GAUGAACGCUGGCGGCGUGCUUAACACAUGCAAGUCGAACGGAAAGGCCAGUGCUUGCACUGGUACUCGAGUGGCGAACGGGUGAGUAACACGUGGGUGAUCUGCCCUGUACUUCGGGAUAAGCUUGGGAAACUGGGUCUAAUACCGGAUAGGACAACUUUUUGGAUAUUGUUGUGGAAAGCUUUUGCGGUAUGGGAUGAGCUCGCGGCCUAUCAGCUUGUUGGUGGGGUAAUGGCCUACCAAGGCGUCGACGGGUAGCCGGCCUGAGAGGGUGUACGGCCACAUUGGGACUGAGAUACGGCCCAGACUCCUACGGGAGGCAGCAGUGGGGAAUAUUGCACAAUGGGCGGAAGCCUGAUGCAGCGACGCCGCGUGGGGGAUGAAGGCCUUCGGGUUGUAAACUCCUUUCGCUAGGGACGAAGCGUAAGUGACGGUACCUGGAGAAGAAGCACCGGCUAACUACGUG